GCUAGGGGUCGAAUAAGAGCUGUAGCUGCCAGCCUACGCCAGAGCCACAGCAACGUGGAAUCCAAGCUGUGUCUGCAACCUACACCACAGCUAACAGCAACGCCAGAUCCUUAACCCACUGAGCAAGGGCAGGGACCAAACCUUCAACCUCAUGGUUCCUAGUCGGAUUCGUUAACCACUGCACCACGACGGGAACUCCUUAAACUGUUUUCAUUUCUUUUCAAUCUUUCUUCUCUUUUCUGUUUCAAUCAGUGAUUUCCACUAGUCUGCCCUCCACCUUGCUUAUUCAUUCUUCUGCCCCAUGUAUUCUGCUGUUGGUUCCUUCUAGGAAAUUUUCUAUUUCAGUUAUUGUAUUUUGCAUCUCUGCUUGCUUAAUCCUUAGAUCUUCUAUUUCUUUGCUCAAUGUUUCUUUUAAUUUAUCAAUAUUUGCCUCAAGUUUAUUUUUAAGAUCUUGAAUCAUCUUUACUAUUAUCACCGUCUAAAGUCUUUUUCAUGGAGGCUUUUAUUGGUAAUCUCCAGAUCACUUAGCUGUUUUCUGGGUUUUUUUCCCUUACUCCCUUAUCUGAGUAAUAAUUUUUUGCCUUUUCAUUUUGUGUAUAUUUUUGGCGUGAUAUCCUUUUUUGCGGACCAUAGAGUUGUGGCCUUUCUUGUUUCUGAUGUCUGCCCUUCUUGUCAAGAUAUUAAGAUUUAUGAUGUUGCAAUUUCUAUUCUUGAAAUAGAAAUCAUCUUUAAAGUGAAUCGUUUCUGAAGAAGUGAUGUAGCUGAUGCCUCUUGAAUCAUCACAUUGUUUAUGGGGAUGUCAUGUAUCUGUUUCAGUAUGAAAUGGAGAGAUUGCACACAGGAAAUUUCACAGAGAAAGGCAUGCUACACAGUAGAAGGUGCCUCAGCAAUAGAGAGUAUGGUGGAGACCAUGGGUUCCAAAGCUGUGGAAACUUAGUUCCAGUACUGACUUUCAUGAUUUCUUUUUCAGUUUGCUCAUCUGCACAGUGGGAAUACUGACUAAUGAUAUCUACCUUAAAAGUUUUUGUGAGAAAUUAAAUGAAUUUCUAUGUAUAAAGCAUUUUAGAAAAGUGUCUGAAAUAUCAUAUAUGUUCUAAAAAUGUUAGCUGUUCAAUAAUCUUCCCAUUCCCAGUCGGGUUAAUGGAUCAGGGUACAUAUGUAUUUUCAAUGUUUUUCUCACUACAUGAUUAUUUAGGAAAGCUGGACCAGCAAGGUUUUUUUCUGAGGUGUUUCUGGCUUGUAUUUUAAAAAGCAAAUUGUGCUUCAAAAGAUUCUGUGCUUAAACUUUAUAUAAAUUAACAUUGAUAAAUAACCCAGGCUCUUUAGUUGGGUGACAUUUUUUGAUGGUUUUAAGCAAUGUAUUUCCCAUUGUCAAGCAAUGUAUACAUAUUGUCUCUAUCAUUGACAUUGAUUUUGGCACUAAAAUUGUUCUGUAUGCAUAGCUGCUCACAUUAGAAGGGAAAUAUAAGCAGUUCUCCAAUUAUUGACACAUCUCAACAAACAUAAAAUAUUUGGGUAUUUUAGAGGAAGGCAGGAUAAUCAAAUGCCCAGGGUAUAACAUAUCAUGUAAAAAAUUUCAUAAUAAUAAUGCUAUGUGUGUGUUGGGGGAGUGUUAUGUGAAUAUGCUAAUUUCAGGAAUAUUGAAGAGAAAGUUUUUGGGGAAAUCUAAAAGUUUUACUUUAGUUUGUAUAAUAAUUAACUUGACUACAUAAAUACUGGGAAAAUAAUUAGAAUCACAGAUUAUGUUGAAUGCCUAAAGAAAUAUGUUUGACAACUUUUAAUUUUCUUCCCUCCCACACACCACUUCCUAGUUUGUUUCUGGCACACCAGAUGUGUCUCAACACAGUUGCUGAUCUGGGUAGAGUUGUGUGAACAACCGUGAUUGUGGCAUAACAAAUUUUUUCAUUUGGAUUACAUUAAUGAAACUAAAAGUAGAAGGGCCACUAUUUUUCAGAUGCUGUGAUACAGAUAGGAGGGUUAGCCUGCCCUUUCUCUAAACCUCUGCAUCAGUGUUCUUUCACUAAGCUAACAUUAAAGUUUGUGUCCACGUGGUGAAUGUACAUAAAAGCUUCUUGUUUUUCAUAGUUAGAUACCAAAGGGCUACUUUGAGGCAUAAGAAUGAAGAGGGAUGAUUUUUGGAGAAAAGUGAAAAAAGAAUUAGUCAUGGGGAAAGGUUUAUAAAUAAUAUUCCCUUUUCUAUUUUCCAGGCUUUUUGAAUAGGCCAAUUAACUUGCUGUUUUUUAGCUUAAAAUCAGCUUUGGUUCUUGAUCUCCAUGGAGAAAAUACUUUCUUUAGGCAUAUUUAUUUUGCCUUUCAUUUAUUUACUGUACUAAUUUUCUAAUUAUUCUUAGCCUUUUUUCAAUUUAAAUGCCAGAGUAAGUACUACACCCCAGAAAUUGUAAUUUAUUUCAAAGGAAUUAAUUUUGUUUUUAGCUUUGCCCUUAUAUGUGAUCUUUCUGUGUGUCCCUAAUUUUGAUCAUCUACUAGUAAUUUAUUUAAUACUUUUCCUCUCAUUUUUUAAUUAUAGAAUAAGCAAUAUUACCAUUAGAAAGAAACUGUUAUUUAACUUAAUAACUUGUGCAUUUAGUCUGUUUCUUUUCAGUUUCAGAUUGUAUUUGGUUUCAAUUUAUAUUGCCCUUUACAUGUAUUAUACCCUUUGAUGAAUGAUUUUCAAGAGUGAUUGUUUAAUCAUCUAGUUUACUUAAUCAUUUCUAUAAAGUUAGAGAUUUAGAUUUAUAAUCUUUUGCUAUUAUAAAUUACAUUACCACAGAAAAUCUAUUUGAGGAUGUCUUUCUUUCUUUCCUUUCCUUUUUUCCUUCCUUCUUUCUGUCGUUCUUUCGAUUCUCCCUCCCUCCCUUCUUCCCCUCCUUCCUUCCUUCAUUUUUAGAGUUAUUUACUCAUUUUAAACUUUCUGGCUUGACAUUGUUAGGCUAAAGGUUUUGAAUAUUUUUAUGGAUCAAAGGAUAUGAUUUUUUAAAAUGGCUCUUAAAGUGCUUUGUCAAAUUGCUUUCUAAUGUAAAUUGCCAACAAUCACAUAUAGGUUUAUCAGUUUUACUUUUCCAGGAACCUGGACAGUGUUGUGAAUUAUUUCUUAGCAUUUUUGUAUCUGUUAGUUAAAUGAAAAAUAGCACUUUGGUAUCAUUUUAAUUUGCAUUGGUUUGAUAAAUGUUUGAAUGUUCUUUUUUUAUGUGUGCUUCAUAAUCUGAUUUCCCCCUAUGCAUGUUCAUGUUAUUGACUGACUUUUCUUCUGGAUUUUAUGUUUUUCUGUCACAUUGUUUAUCCUUUGUUUGUAAUAUAGAAAACAAUCUUUUGUCUCUUGUACUUCUUAAAUAUAUUUCCUUUUCCUUAAGUUGUUUUCCUUUUCCAAUGACUAUUAAUUUCUUAGUAUUAAAGAUUAAAUUGUUACACAAAAUUUACAUCUUUUUGUUUUUUUAUUGACUCAAAGUUUAGAGUGCUAUCAUUCCUUCAAAAAUACCCAGUUCUGUUUCAUGCUAAUGUUUAAUGAGCUAAAUUGUAUCUGUUAAAUAUAGAUACAUAUAUACAUGCAUAUAGAGAGAAAGAGGAGAGGUUAGUAUUAUAAUUAUAUGGUAUGGUGUAAUUUUUUUUCUUUUUAUGCCCAUACCUGAGGAAGUUCUUGGGCUAGGGGUCGAAUUGGAGCUGCAGCUGUUGGCCUAUGCCACAGCCAUGGCAACACGGGAUCUGAGCCACAUUUAUGACCUGUGCUGCAGCUUGUGACAACAUGUAGGGUGUAAAUUUUGACUCAUUUUUUCCUCAAAUUACUGACCAGUUAUCUCUCUAUCAUUUAUUUAAUAGCUUUCUUCCCCUGGACCCAUUGUUUUGAAUUUUCUUUUCAUGUUGCAUUAUUACAUUAUUACAUAUAAUUAGGUAUUUUCCUAGAUUUUAUGCCCUUAUUCAUUGAACUAUUUCAAAUUAUAUAUCAAAACCACAUUACUUAAAUUAUUAUUGUUGUGCAAUAUGUUUUAAAAUCUAGAGUAAUCUUUUCAAAAAUCAUUGAGUUUCUCCUGUGUUCUAGAAAAAGUAUGGAUAUAGAAAUUAAAAUUAUCCUGUUUCUAUACCUCUGAUAAUUAAAGGCUUGCCAGGAAAACAGGCAUGUAAAAUGUAUUUUACACUAAUGUGAUAAAAACCAUAGAAGAGAAGUGACUACAGAACUGUGGUAGCAUAAUGAAUAGUCUAUUUUCUAGUGCUAGUGACAGAUCUACUUUAAUUAUAAUUGCUAUUUUAUUAUGUCUACAAAAUAACUUUUGAUUUUUUUGAAUUUUGUAAUCUUCUCACAUAGGAUUAUUGUUUGUGUUAUUUAUUUCCCUAUUAAGUUUUAUAGUUUUCUUUAAUAUGAAGUUCUUAUUAGAGAAAUUUUAAGUUAAACAUAUAUAUGUUAUUAGUAUUGUUUGUGACAGUCUCUAGGUUUGAUUUAUUUCUUUUCAAAAAGUCUUUAUUUUGGAUUUAACACUCUCAUGGAAAAUUGGAGUACAUACUUCUUCAUCUUUUUUUUAUUUGGAAGCAGUCAAGUAUUCACUGGUAAUAUUUCUGGGAUUUGAUUGGGUUUAGCAUAUACAUAAGACACAAGCAUGGAAGCAUCAUUGAUGUUUACUAGUAGUUAAUUUUUGAAACCAACAGGAAGCCAAUGAGAAAUUCUUGUGCAAAGAAAACCAUAUUAAACUUGAUUGAAUUUGUGGGGAAAAAUUUAUAUUCUGUGGCCUUGGAAACUUUAGAUUUAUCAUCUUUGGCAUGCGAAUUAUAGUUUCUAUUGUUGGAGCUGUUAAUUGGUGACAAUGAGGGCUUAAGAGAUGUUAAGGAGUUGUGGGAAAUGAAACAAACACGCAUUAAAGGGUAAUUAUUUCUGGAUUUCUGCUUAAAUCAGUUGUUUCAGCCCUACUUUUCAGAUGCAGAAGAAAGUUUAUUUCAUUAUUUCAGUUUUCUAAUCUGUGUUUUAUUUAAAAAUAUUUUUGUAUUUGCAAACUAGGUCAGGAGUAAGCAGGACCUUGGUGAUGUAAAUAAACAAAUCCUAGUGGAAGCCUGUCUGUGGACUUUCUCUUUUGUGUAAUUCUUUUUAUAUGGAAGAACACUUCUCUUGGCCAGGAUCCCAUUAUAAAAAAGGAAAGAAAGGUGGGGAUGAAGGGGGAUAAAUAUUCCUAGAGAGACUGCUUGAAUUUCAACCUUUCGAUUACUUGAUUAUUCUUAUGGCUAUGGGAGAUGAAAGAAUAAUGAGAAGUUCAUUUCCUUUAUGAAUCAUAUAAGACAAUAUGGAUAUACACAGGGCUCUUGACUUGAAUAAAAACCAUGGCCUUUAAACAGUUCUCUUUUUGGGGAACACAGUUUGCGGAGGAGCAGUGAAAUUGUUUUAGCAGUCCAAAUUCUGUGACUUCAGAGUAAGUUCAAGUGCAGGGAGAUAAGUGGCAGGCAUUUGAUAGUAAAUUUAAUCCAGGUGUUUAUUUUAUUUAAUAUAUGCAUUGCCUCAUUUAAAAAAUCAUUUGAGACAUCUUAUAAGAACAUAUUUAUUCAACUUAAUAAUGAGGAAGUGUAUAGAGAAGAAAGGACUUACUAUCAAGAAAACAUUUAUAAAUCAAUAGGAAGUCUUAACUAGGAAGUAGAAAGGAAAUAUAUUUUUUUACUUAUUAUUCAUAUCUUGUCUCCUAUCACUUAUACACAUACAUUUAUUUAUUAUAGCUAUUCGUUUUAUGUAUAUUAGAUCUUAUUAUUUGUUUUAUUUUAAGAAUAAGAAAUUGCAUUCAUGGUCCUUAGGAGAAACACAACUAUGUCAAUCUCUAAUUUCUAGAAUGAAUUCUUGUUUUGUUUUGUUUUGUUUUGUUUGUCUUUUUUAGGACUGCACCCAUGGCAUAUGAAAGUUCCCAGACUAGGGGUCCAAUUGGAGCUGUAGCUGCCAACCUACGCCACAGUAACACCACAUCCGAGCUGUGUCUGUGACCCACGCCACUGCUCACAGCAUCACCCGACCCUUAACCCACUGAGUGAGGCCAGGGAUCAAACCUGAUACUCACAGAUACUAGUCGGGUUUGUUACCACUGAGCCACAGGGGAGCUCCUCAGAAAUCAUUUUUAACUUGUGGGUUGGACUUGGUCACUUGUAUCCAAAGUCUCCUACCUUAUCCAUUCCGAAUUGCAACAAAGUUAUCAUUGGUAGCAUAGCAUGUAGAAAGAAAAUUUAGCAAAAAAUUUUGAUCCAGCCAUCAAUGAGAAAAGGAAAGAAAGUUUAAUAAUAAAACUAGCAUGAGGAAAUAAAAAACAAGAGACUGAAAGAUACCAUAUAAAUUAUGUUGUAUGUAAAUCCUGAGUAAGAAUCUUGAGAUGAUAUUCAGCCAGAAAAGGACCCCUGACUUACUCAGAUGCACAUUUUCUGCAUUUGGUUUUGAGUACAUACCUCUUAAUUACCCUUCAGUUAAGUCCUAAUCUACUGAAUAUACAAAAUUAACUGUCAACAUACCUUAUUUGGCAGUUUUCCCUUUCAUCAACUCUUAUUUUCUUUAUUUAUUAUGUUGUUAUUUCUAAGCUGUUUUCGUUCUUUUGGUCUGUUACCACUCCUAUACUAUUGCAGGAUGGCUGUCUUAAUGGCAAGAGCUAAUGACUUGCUCUUCUAUAAAAAUAAAAAUAAAAGAUCUGGUUUUGUGCCCUUUUACAUUAUGAUUGAAUAAAAGUUUAUUGAUC
rnacentral:lncRNA from 1 species